GUUGUCGUUUGUUUAUGUAAUUUAUACGUGUUUCUCGUUUCUCGUUUUUUUAUAUAGAUCAGACCGUUGGUUUUCCCCGUUGAAUGUUUUACACUAGUAAUUUUGGGGCCCUUUAUAGCUUGUUGUUCGGUGUGAGCUAAGGCUCCGUGUUGAAGGCCGUACAUUGACCUAUAAUGGUUUACUUUUUUAAAUUGUUAUUUGGAUGGAGAGUUGUCUCAUUGGUACUCACACCACAUCUUCCUAUAUCCAUAUA
rnacentral:lncRNA from 1 species